AUACGUAGGGGGCAAGCGUUGUCCGGAAUGAUUGGGCGUAAAGGGCGCGUAGGCGGCCCGGUAAGUCUGAAGUGAAAGUCCUGCUUUUAAGGUGGGAAUUGCUUUGGAUACUGUCGGGCUUGAGUGCAGGAGAGGUAAGUGGAAUUCCCAGUGUAGCGGUGAAAUGGGUGGAGAUUGGGAGGAACACCAGUGGCGAAGGCGACUAUCUGGACUGUAACUGCCGCUGAGGCUGGAAAGUGUGUGGAGCAAACAUGAUUAGAUACCCUGGUUAUCCACACUGUAAACGAUGGGUACUAGGUAUAUGAGGUAUCGACCCCUGCUGUGCCGUCGUUAACACAAGAAGGUCCCCGCCUGGGGAGUACAGUCGCAAGACUAAAACUCAAAUGAAUUUACGUGG
rnacentral:rRNA from 1 species